CAGACCAGUCUCCGAGUAUUUAAAAAUACCUGUGGAUUUUUAAAAGCUCCUUCAUGAGUCUAACGUACAGCAAGGUUGAAGACCACUGUCUGCAUUUCUGCCUCUAGUAUCUGGGAUUUCAAGCACCAUCUGAUGAAGGUGUCCAGGUCCAGGGAACAUGGAACACCACUGCACAGCGACCCAACCAGCACCCGCGUGAUCCCCCCAAGAAGCAUCUGCACGACCACCCACACAGCACCUGCAUGUGACCCCCCCCGAGGGUUGUUUCACUUGGCCUAAGUCACCUCCUGCCACUUUAAUGGGGGCUACUGAACCAUCUCAUCGUUUCUGAAUUAACUGCUUGGCUGGAUGGCUUCCAAGCAGGAUGCACAGCUUUCCCUGUGAAGGACUGCCUCUUGCCCCCUCCGUCUUUGGGCACCGUGGUCCUUACAGAUUCUGAAUGUCAACAGAGCUUUGAGUCACUGGAGUCAAAUCCCUCCGACAAUCAUGGUCAUGUUGAAGGCUCUGUGUUUCAGGCAGACACAGAACAGCUCCCAAGUUCAGGGGUGAGGGCUGUGCCAUCAGCCGGUGUCCAACCCUCGACCACAGAUGCUCCUAGAUACUUGCAGCCCACGAGGCCAAGACAGGUCCUCGAGUGACCCCAUCUCUCAGCCUCAAGUGACCCCUAUCUCUCAAACAUGAAGCCCAGAGCAAAGGGUUGCGCUUGUAUCGUGUUUGUGAUCACAGAACCAGUCCCUGUCAUGCAGAUAAAACAAGCGUGGCCCGCAUUCAUUGCGGGCAGAUCCCUUCCACCCGCAGGAUGCCGGAAAGCAGGGAGUCGGGCCAUCACGGACACAGGAGGUGGAGGCAGGGCUGUGGGCUGCCAGAUAGCACUGUCAGUAGGCUGCAUCGGGACAGUGCCAUCAUGCUCCAGUCGUGGCCAUCUGCGGAUAGUUCCAGCUGCUGUCAUUCUCUAAGGGGAGCAUAGGGACCGUACAGAGGAAUUGCCAAGUGGUGCCUGUGGGGAGGGACCGGGAGCAGCUGGCAGCCACGAAGCCACACGGCUUGAAGAGAGCAGCAAAGCCCCAAACCCGAGGCUGGGGUGGAGCCCAGCCAAGGAGCUACAGGAGCAGAGUGGCAAGCAGAGAACUCUGGAGCUGGGACCCACCCGGGAGACCCUCAGGGACCCAGAGUGACAUUUCUUUGUGUUCUCUUAGCACACAGGACUGGGAGGGUGACGGAGGGGAAUGAAGAGUGACAGGAAGAAGCCCUUUGCAUGACCUGGUGUAACAGGGGCUUUAGAAUUAAAAACUCUGGGUCUGUG